AUGGACAAUGAGCAGCGUGUCUUCAGAAGGAAGUUAGUGGAUAUUCAGGGGAUUCCCCUUUUCUAGAGCAUUGCUGAAGAGUGGUUUCAAGUUGAAUUGUUUGAGGCCUGACCAGAUGAUACUCUGAUCUCUACCUAUCCCAAAUCUGGUAGGAUGACCUGGAUCAGUGAAAUAUUGGAUUUGAUCUUUAACAAUGGGGAUGCAGAGAAAUGUAAACGGGAUGCAAUAUACAAGCGAGUGACUUUCAUGGAACUUAUAAUUCCUGGACUCACAAAUUGUGUUGAGCAGUUGAAAAACAUGCAGUCUCCUCGAUUAGUGAAAACACACCUGCCUGUUCAACUUCUCCCUUCUUCAUUUUGGAAGAAUAACUAUGAUCUACGUGGCACGGAAUGCCAAAGAUGUGGCUGUGUCUUAUUAUUAUUUCCACCAGAUGGCAAAAAUGCACCCAGAUCCUGGAACUUGGGAGGAGUUCCUGGAUAAAUUCAUGACUGGAAAGUUGUGUUUUGGUUCCUGGUAUGACCAUGUGAAGGGCUGGUGGGAAAAGAAGAAAGAUUAUCGUAUCCUUUACCUAUUUUAUGAAGACAUGAAAGAGAAUCCUAAGUGUGAAAUUCAGAAGGUGUUAAAGUUUCUGGAGAAAGACAAGCCAGAAACAAUUGUGGAUAAAAUCCUCCAUCACAGCUCUUUUGAUGUGAUGAAGCAGAACUCUUGUACAAAUUAUACUACUAUGGGAAAGAAUGAGAUGGACCAUUAUGUGUUUCCCUUCGUAAGGAAGGGUGUUUCAGGAGACUGGAAGAAUCAAUUCACUGUAGCCCAGUAUGAGAAAUUUGAAGAUUAUGAAAAAAAAAUGAAAGAGUCCACACUGCAGUUUCGGUCAGAAAUCUAA
rnacentral:sRNA from 1 species